rnacentral:lncRNA from 1 species
GUGCCAGGCAUGUUCUCUGCUUCAAGAGGACUCUCUUGCCCUUCUCUUGGGGAAAAUCUUCGCUGGCCCACAUGUUCUCUGGAUGGCCUGCUUUCCGUGACAAUUAUAGGAGCAUCAUGCACUGAGGACCUGCUGGAUGCCAGGCACUUCACAUACAUCAUCAAUUUAAUUCUCCCAAUAUCCUUUCAAGGUGGGGAGUAUUUCCCCCAUUUUACAGAUGAGGAAACUGAGGCUCAGAAAGAUGAAAGGAUGUGCCUAAUAUUACCCAUCUAGGAGGUUGUAAGAUCAGGACCCUGACUCAAGUUGGCCUGGCUUCUCUGCCUCUUGCCACCUUUGAUUCCUGAGACCACCAACCACUCCCCGCAGUCUGGUCCAGCUGGAGGGAACUGGUCCAAGGAGCAGCAGCUUGAAGGGUACAUCAGAGAGAUGGCAGUGAGGCCCAGAGAACGAGAAGGCUUGGGAACAAGGAGAUGGGCCCUAGUGAGGACCUUCAAGUGUUUCCAGGGCUGUCGUGCAGAGGCCCGCUGGCCUCCAUCUGAAAUAAGAAGCAGUGUGAAGGAUUUGCGUGAGACCACCAGAAGGACUUUCUGGCCUAGAGGGGUGUAGAACUCUGGAAUGGGCAGAAGAGGGAAGGUGUAAAGACAAAUGCUUUGGUGAAGCCAUCCUGUGGUAGUUCCAAAGCAGCUGACUUGCUGACCCAAGACGGGGAGGCCAGAGGUCAUCUCAGAACACCCCCUGGCAUCUGAAAGAGGCUGGAAUCCCCUGCCUGGGGGGCAGUUGGGGAUCUUGAGAGCUGGAGUUUUCUGGAUCCAAGGAAAGGCAAAUCACAGGGACUGUGCUGGGAUGCUGAUGCUCAAGCUAGGAUGCUGGGAGCCCACCUCAGGAUUCAAAAGAGAAGAGGAGUCUUGCUCAGGAGCCUCUCCAUGGCCUGAUAUGGGAAAUAGGGGAUUAAGAACCCUACAGAUCCCCACCACCCAAGGCACUGGGGCUUGGGCUGGACUGACCCUGCUAGGGCCCGGGCAUCUCUGGCAGUGUCUGCCAGGCAAGAGUAGGGGUUCCACCUGCACCAGAGAGGAGGCUCACACUCCCCUCCCGCCCACCCCAGGAUACCUGCUGCUGCAGACCCAGGCCCUCUUGGAGAGACUGGCCUGGAGGGGCAAGGGCCUUGGGCAGUGCACGGUCUGUAUGCAAGUAGACCCCCAGGGCUGAGAGAGCUGGGUUCGAGCCUUCCCUUGGCAUUUCAGUUCUGGACUGGCCCAUGGCCUCCCUGGGCUGGCUUCCCAAGGACGCUGUGAGGAGGGUGAUAAUAAAAAGACAUGACUAGCCCA